rnacentral:rRNA from 1 species
AACGAACGCUGGCGGCAUGCCUAACACAUGCAAGUCGAACGAGACCUUCGGGUCUAGUGGCGCACGGGUGCGUAACGCGUGGGAACCUGCCCUUAGGUUCGGAAUAACUCCCCGAAAGGGGUGCUAAUACCGGAUAAUGUCUUCGGACCAAAGAUUUAUCGCCUUUGGAUGGGCCCGCGUUGGAUUAGCUAGUUGGUAGAGUAAAAGCCUACCAAGGCGACGAUCCAUAGCUGGUCCGAGAGGAUGAUCAGCCACACUGGGACUGAGACACGGCCCAGACUCCUACGGGAGGCAGCAGUGGGGAAUAUUGGACAAUGGGCGAAAGCCUGAUCCAGCAAUGCCGCGUGAGUGAUGAAGGCCUUAGGGUUGUAAAGCUCUUUUACCCGGGAUGAUAAUGACAGUACCGGGAGAAUAAGCUCCGGCUAACUCCGUG